CCAGCAUUUCACAAGAGGGAUAAGCACUAGGGACGGAGCGGAGUUAUUUAAGUUACAGGCCAAUGUUGGCACAAGAACAAAUGGAUAUAAACUGGCCAUCAACAGGCUGAAGUUUGAAAUUAGUCAAAGAUUUCUAACCAUCAGAGGAGUGAAGUUCUGGAACAAACUCCCAAGGGGAG